rnacentral:rRNA from 1 species
UACGUAGGGUGCAAGCGUUGUCCGGAAUUAUUGGGCGUAAAGAGCUCGUAGGCGGUCUGUCGCGUCUGCUGUGAAAACCCGGGGCUCAACCCCGGGCUUGCAGUGGAUACGGGCAGACUAGAGUUCGGUAGGGGAGACUGGAAUUCCUGGUGUAGCGGUGAAAUGCGCAGAUAUCAGGAGGAACACCGGUGGCGAAGGCGGAUCUCUGGGCCGAUACUGACGCUGAGGAGCGAAAGCGUGGGGAGCGAACAGG